rnacentral:rRNA from 1 species
AGCGAACGCUGGCGGCAGGCUUAACACAUGCAAGUCGAGCGGGCACUUUCGGGUGUCAGCGGCGGACGGGUGCGUAACGCGUGGGAACGUGCCCUCUGGUUCGGAAUAACUCAGGGAAACUUGAGCUAAUACCGGAUACGCCCUUUUGGGGAAAGGCUUGCUGCCGGAGGAUCGGCCCGCGUCUGAUUAGCUAGUUGGUGAGGUAACGGCUCACCAAGGCGACGAUCAGUAGCUGGUCUGAGAGGAUGAUCAGCCACACUGGGACUGAGACACGGCCCAGACUCCUACGGGAGGCAGCAGUGGGGAAUAUUGGACAACGGGCGCAAGCCUGAUCCAGCCAGGCCGCGUGAGUGAUGAAGGCCUUAGGGUUGUAAAGCUCUUUUAUCCGGGACGAUAAUGACGGUACCGGAGGAAUAAGCCCCGGCUAACUUCGUG